CCGAUCCAUUGCUUAAUGGAUCCACACCAGACCAGACCAUUAAGUGAAAAAUUAAAUGGUGUGGGUAGGUUAAUUACCCAUGGGUAUUAUAAGACCCAUAGACCCAAUAAUACCCAUUACCAAACUAAAAAAAGCCCAAAAAAGACCAAAAAAGCCCAUGGUCUCAACUCUCAAACUCUCAAAUCUCAAUUCUCGUCUGAAUUUGAAAAUUGGAUCUGCACGCAGCCCGGCAACCGCUUCACGCUCACCUCAAUUCCUCCGCCGCCGCUGCUCGCCUCCGCCGCCGAUUGGUGUCGCCUCGCUGCUGAUUGUUGUCGCGCUCUCCGGAAUUCGCUUCUCUCCGCCGCUUCGGGAGUUCCUGCCCUCUCCGCCGCACGCCGCCGCGAAGCUCGCCGCGCCGGGAGUUCCUGCGCUCUCCGCCGCACGCCGCUCCUCAAGAUUGGCCACGCCACACAUUCUUCUCCUCUGUCGCACAUUCAGCUUCUCCGCCUGCAUCUCCCCGUGCCACCACGCCCAACCAACGCCACACCUCCCAGCGUCGCCUCAACCCCGGUUAAAUCGCCGAUUGCUCAUCGCUGGAAUAAUUUGGCCGGAUCAUAUUUGGCGUCUCCUUCACUGAAGGCAAAACCUAGGGCGGGCGGUGAAAUCUGCUGGGACGCUCUUCACACCUUCGUCUCUUUAAAUCUCUUCCACAUUCCUUCUGAGGCAAAUAUCUAUCGGGAGGAGAAAAACUUGAUCGACUUGUAUGUUAUACUGCUAAGAUAUUCAAGCCGCACGCGCACACCUUCUCUCUCUGCACAUACGCCGCCCUUCCUCUCCUUCUCGUCGCCGCUGCAGAUCCGUCGUCCUUUCCCUCUCGCCGCCGCCCCUAAUUGGUAUUUUGUUUUUGUGCAUUUUCCGUGUUAUUAUUAUAAUUUCAAAUGGUUCUCUCCCACAGUCAUAGAAGAAACAAAUCUUUGGAAUUGAGGAGUUGAUGGAGACGAUGGGAGACGAAGAUGUUGGUUCCACGCCAUCAUCUGCUACUGCUGAGUCGCCCUCCUCUGUCCCUCCCCCGCUCGGAAUGACGCUGGAGCUAUGCCGGAAUAAUAUCCAGAAAGCUUUACACAAUCCAAAGGUGAAAACUCUGAUGGAGAGUAUGGAGAAAUCUGGAUGCAAAAUCGGAGAGAAUUUCUUCAAGGCUAAAUAUUGCAGUGGUGUACACGCCGGUCAUUUCAGCAGGGGGCAAGGGAUUGGAAUAUGUUGUAAUUACAUGGGACAUAAUGACUAUUUGGUACAAGCAAUGAUUCAUGAGCUCAUUCACGCAUAUGAUGACUGUCGUGCUGCUAAUAUGGAAUGGGAUAGCGCCGCUCAUCAAGCUUGCAGUGAGAUUCGAGCUAAUCAUCUCAGUGGAGAUUGCCAUAUUGUCAGAGAGUUUCUUCGCGGUAAUCUGAAGUUGAAGUUGAAUGAGAUAAAAGCUCAUGAGCCAAGAAGUAAGAAACAAGAAGUCUUAUUUUCCAAGCAAGCCAAGUGAAGAAGACAUGUGUGAAGAUUAAGGGAUUUUGAUUAAGGGAUUUUGAUUCCUGCUUGAUAGAAAUGUGUGAAGAAAAGAGCAGCUCGAUCGGUGGCUGCAUGUGGCCAUUCACCAACUACAACAGAGGCAGCCAUUGAAGGUGUUUGGGAUACUUGUUACAAUGACAAAGCGCCCUUUGAUCCAGCUCCUUGAGUCCUCUUCUCUUGCUUGGGAAUAAAACUUCUCUUGUUGAUUAGAAUGAAUUGUUGAAUGCAUUUCAAUAACAGAUAUGAGGCAAUGAUGCAUUCUAUUAUCUGAGUUUACAUUCUUGAAAUCAUUAGAACUCCAUUUAAUAUAGCUAUUGAUACCACUUUUUAAACUGUAAAAGGAAAAAGAAAAAAACACAAUUGCAUUGUUCUCUAAAUAGAUUGUUCAUUUCCAGAA